CAGAGGGUAGUUUAAAAUAAAAUGCUAGCUUUGGGAGUUAGUGAUGGGAGUUUAAGUCUCUUCUUUCUGA
rnacentral:tRNA from 1 species